CUGGAAGAGGAAAUGGCAUUUCCUGGAGGGGACUACAUGUGGGUGGGGAGGUUCCACUCAUUGCAUUAAACACACUCAAACUUUUGGUUGUGUACUUCUUUUCCCCCUCAGUUUCUGCCCUAAAGUUUCCUGGAAUGAUGCUGAAUUCAUACUGUGGUACAGCCAUUUCAGUCCCCCUUAACUGGAACAGACAUGAUCCCUGCUUUGGAUCCAGAGCUAAGAAAUAAACGACUUCAAGAAUCUUAUCUCUGGAGAGAUGACAAUCCAUCUUUCUCCAACCGGGAAUUUGCAAGAAGGAGCCUGAGACAUCAUCACCUUCCUUUUAUUUUGGACCUAGCUGACGAUUAUCUUCUGUCUCCAGAAGAGACCACGUCCUGCAUCUGUGAGGUUCAUCUUCGAUAAAGGAUUUAGGAUAGAAAUUAAAGAGAUGAUGUUCUUAUUAUGAGCCUCAAAUCGGAGAAGAUGGUAUUUGGGGAGAAGUGGGACGUGACAGACAGUUUGAACAAAGGAUUAUUUAACAAGGACACUUCUGUCUCUGCAGUAAGUCACCACUCAGAGGGAAACCAGUUUGGACAAUUUCAUGAGGAGUUGGCUCUCCCCCUGUCACUUUCCGAAAGGCCUGGCAAAGAUUGUUUUUAAAGGAGUCAGCCUGAAUCCCCAGAAGAACGGCAUGGAAUUAGAAGACAAUGAUCUGCCAUUACCAAGACCAGAGAAACAUGUGGAGUCUAGUAUAAAUUUAUUCAGAAAAUGUAAAAAUUAUUCUAGGAGCUAUAGGUGAAAGUGACAGACAUGCAGAUGAAAAACAGAGUCAGCAAAUAAAAGAAGUAAAGCACUGCAUUUGGGAUUUAACAUAUCUUUGGAGAGUGGAGGUUUUGUCUCUGUUUUACACAUGAAACACACGAACUCACAUACACACACAGAUUGUUCAGUAUUUGAAUAAAUGUACUCUGACGAUUAAAGAAAAACCUGUGAUCUCUAAGUAA